rnacentral:rRNA from 1 species
CCUACGGGUGGCAGCAGUGAGGAAUAUUGGUCAAUGGACGAGAGUCUGAACCAGCCAAGUAGCGUGAAGGAUGACUGCCCUAUGGGUUGUAAACUUCUUUUAUAUAGGAAUAAAAUGUUCCACGUGUGGGAUUUUGUAUGUACCAUAUGAAUAAGGAUCGGCUAACUCCGUGCCAGCAGCCGCGGUAAUACGGAGGAUCCGAGCGUUAUCCGGAUUUAUUGGGUUUAAAGGGAGCGUAGGUGGAUUGUUAAGUCAGUUGUGAAAGUUUGCGGCUCAACCGUAAAAUUGCAGUUGAAACUGGCAGUCUUGAGUACAGUAGAGGUGUGCGGAAUUCGUGGUGUAGCGGUGAAAUGCUUAGAUAUCACGAAGAACUCCGAUUGCGAAGGCAGUUCACUGGACUGCAACUGACACUGAGGCUCGAAAGUGUGGGUAUCAAACAGGAUUAGAUACCCGAGUAGUC